AGCAAGGAACAUUUGUGCAGGUUUAUAGUACUCCUUUUAUUAAUUGAAUGCCCUGUGAUACAAAGGAAAGCUGCAGCAAGGGAGACGCAGCAGUCAGCUUCCUUAGAGAAAGUGCCCCAUCGUGAGCUUCAAGGGUUUCUCUAUGUUUGGGCAGACACUGGUGAACGGCAGCUUCCUUCUAACGCCGGAGCUGAAUCCUAUCCCCGAAGGAAAAAGCAGAAGGGGCAGGCUGUCGGCUACGCAGACGCCUGCCGCCUCGGGGGCUGCGGCGGGAGCUGACCCUUCCCCGACGGACGGGCGGACGGUCGGACAGACGGACGCUGGUGUGGCGAUGACUCUUCAGGUGUCACGGGGUAAGGGGAAGCGUGCCGGCACCGAGCUCCGUGGCAGGCUCGCUCCCAGGUGGCGUUCCUGCCCAGUAAAACAAUAAACAGCCGCUUUAUUCUUU